AACGUUUCCAUUCCAACCACUUGGAGCAGUUCGUGUGAAUUUUGCGAUAACUACAUUCGCGUGAUUCAACCUCUCCCCAACGGUGCAUUGUUGGAGUGCGGCACGAAUA